UCAGUACUCCGGUUUGUCGCUUUACCUUGUGUGAAGAGGAAAGUCCGGGCAACACAGAGCGCCAUACUUCCUAACGGGAAGCUAUCCGCGAGGGUAGGGUAAUGUAACAGAAAAUUACCGCUUCAGCUCGCUGAAGUAAGGGUGAAAAGGUGAGGUAAGAGCUUACCGGUACUUAUGGCAACAUGGGUAGCCGUACAUCCUAUGGGUUGCAAGAUCAUGUACACCGGCGCAAUCAGGGCUGCUCGUCCGAUGUCGGGGGGUAGAUUGCACGAGGCAGUUGGUGACAACUGUCCCAGAUAAAUGACAAACACCUUGCUUGCAAGGCACAGAACCCGGCUUACAGGAGUGCUGAUUUU
rnacentral:RNase_P_RNA from 1 species